GGAGUCAGCCAGACAGUCGCGUCACAGCAAUGUGCCGAGGAAAGUCCGGGCUCCACAGGGCAAGGUGCCAGGUAACACCUGGGCGGCGUGAGCCGACGGCCAGUGCAACAGAAAGCAAACCGCCGAACGGUGCCGAGUGCAUGCGUGGUAAGGGUGAAACGGUGCGGUAAGAGCGCACCGCCUGCGGGGUCAACGCCGCAGGGCACGGUAAACCCCACCUGGAGCAAGACCGAAUAGGGGAACCAUGACGCGGCCCGCGUCGUUCCCGGGUUGGUUGCUUGAGCCUGACGGCGACGUCAGGCCUAGAGGAAUGACUGUCGUCCCGCAAGGGAUACAGGACCCGGCUUACCGGCUGACUCCACAC
rnacentral:RNase_P_RNA from 1 species